rnacentral:rRNA from 1 species
UACGAAGGGGGCUAGCGUUGCUCGGAAUCACUGGGCGUAAAGGGUGCGUAGGCGGGUCUUUAAGUCAGGGGUGAAAUCCUGGAGCUCAACUCCAGAACUGCCUUUGAUAUCAUGAAGAUCUUGAGUUCGGGAGAGGUGAGUGGAACUGCGAGUGUAGAGGUGAAAUUCGUAGAUAUUCGCAAGAACACCAGUGGCGAAGGCGGCUCACUGGCCCGAUACUGACGCUGAGGCACGAAAGCGUGGGGAGCAAACAGG